rnacentral:rRNA from 1 species
GACGAAGGUGGCGAGCGUUGUUCGGAAUCACUGGGCAUAAAGCGCACGUAGGUGGCGCCGUAAGUCGGAUGUGAAAUCCCUCGGCCCAACCGAGGAACUGCGUCCGAUACUGCGGUGCUUGAGGGUCAAAGGGGUGCAUGGAAUUCCCGGUGGAGCGGUGAAAUGCGCAGAUAUCAGGAAGGACACCCGUGGCGAAGGCGGCUUUCUGGGACGGUACUGACGCUGAGACGCGAAAGCGUGGGGAGCGAACAGG